rnacentral:rRNA from 1 species
GAGGUGGAUCUUGGCUCAGAUUGAACGCUGGCGGCAGGCUUAACACAUGCAAGUCGAGCGGGCGAUGUUGCUUCGGUAACUGAGCUAGCGACGGACGGGGUGAGUAAAGCUUAAGAAUCUGCCUAUUAGUGGGGGACAACAUUUCGAAAGGGAUGCUAAUACCGCAUACGUCCUACGGGAGAAAGCAGGGGACCUUCGGGGCCUUGCGCUAAUAGAUGAGCCUAAGUCGGAUUAGCUAGUUGGUGGGGUAAAGGCCUACCAAGGCGACGAUCUGUAGCGGGUCUGAGAGGAUGAUCCGCCACACUGGGACUGAGACACGGCCCAGACUCCUACGGGAGGCAGCAGUGGGGAAUAUUGGACAAUGGGGGGAACCCUGAUCCAGCCAUGCCGCGUGUGUGAAGAAGGCCUUUUGGUUGUAAAGCACUUUAAGCGAGGAGGAGGCUCUCUUGGUUAAUACCUGAGAAGAGUGGACGUUACUCGCAGAAUAAGCACCGGCUAACUCUGUGCCAGCAGCCGCGGUAAUACAGAGGGUGCGAGCGUUAAUCGGAUUUACUGGGCGUAAAGCGCGCGUAGGUGGUUAAUUAAGUCAAAUGUGAAAUCCCCGAGCUUAACUUGGGAAUUGCAUUCGAUACUGGUUAACUAGAGUAUGGGAGAGGAUGGUAGAAUUCCAGGUGUAGCGGUGAAAUGCGUAGAGAUCUGGAGGAAUACCGAUGGCGAAGGCAGCCAUCUGGCCUAAUACUGACACUGAGGUGCGAAAGCAUGGGGAGCAAACAGGA